CGCGGCUACUCCAUUUCCAUAGCCGCCCGGCGGAAAAAAGGAGGAAACCCCCGCCCGGCCGGCGGUGCGGCAGUGUGGAGACCUGCCGCAAUGGCGCGAAGGUUCCGCUCCUUCGCGGCGAGAAGGGCAGCGCGGAGGCCUGUCCUUUACGGCCAGAAGGUAUGGCA
rnacentral:ncRNA from 1 species